rfam:Schistosoma mattheei strain Denwood, Zambia genome assembly, scaffold: SMTD_scaffold0000998
AUCCAGCUGACGAGUUCCAAAUAGGACGAAACGCGCGUUCUGGAU